rnacentral:lncRNA from 1 species
AGAGAACAGUCAUGCCAGGCUCCUGUGUGCAAGCAUAACAGAGUGUCGUCAAUAGUGUCAGGGACUGGUGCUUGUCCAUGGGAUUGGUCUCAAGUUGGGCCAGUUAUUGGUCGGCCAUUCCCUUUGUCUCUGCUCCAUCUUUGUCCCUGCAUUUCUUGACAGGACAAACUUCGGGUCAAAGUUUUGUGGAUGGGUUGGUGCCCAUCUACUGGGUCCUGCCAGGCUGGUACCAUAAAGGAGCAGACUCAAAUAAAGAAAAUCCACGCUCCGGUAUUCCAGCUGGCACCUGAGGCCGGCCGGCUGGAUGCAGCCCUGAGCAUCUGUGUCCCGUUGCCUUAUAGCCUCCUCCCAGCACAGGAAGUGGACUUCUGUCCAGUUCAAGUCUGAACACUAUGCUCUAGACUCUGGACCACCCCAGAGAGAUCAACCCUGUCACCCAGGUCAAUAGCUUCUUUUGGGAGGCUGGUGUCCUCUUCCUCAAUUCUCACACCAAGGCUUCAGGUAUAUAAAGCUGGCAUGAAUUUUAAACUAUAUAUUUGACCAAGUUGUUGUUAAUAUCAAUAAUGCUAAGCACUAAUAAGUAACUAGUCUUUUUGAAUAUCAGUUAUUUAAAAUAUCCUAAUUUCUUUACUACACUCACAUAUCUAAAUGGCAUAGAUAAUGUCUCGCAUGGCUUCUCUGCUGCUUUUGUCUUGUUUUGUUGAGACAGGCUUUCAUGGAGCAUAGGCUGGUCUCCAUCUAAUGUGUAGCCCAAGAUGACCUUCAGCUUCCAAUCCUCUUGCCUCUACCUCAUGAGUGCUGGGGUUACAGGUGCAUGUCACCAUGCCUGGGUUUAUGCAUUGCUGGGGAUUGAACUCUGGGCCUCUUGCAAACUAGAUAAGCACUUUAUCAAUUAUGCUAUGCCCUCUUUAGAUGUUCAAUAUCACCCAUAGGGGUUUUUAAUCACAAAAAGUAUAUCAGAUGCAUUUACUAGUAUGAUUAAAGAAAGGAAAAGGAAUAAUUGUUGUAGGGAGAAAUUAGGAUGAUGGGCCUAAGGAUGAAGGUAGAGGACUCUGAUUGCAGAACACUCAAGUUCUCCUUCCUGCACAAGUAACAUUCACAUACAGAUGUAUCGGCUUGGUGGUCCAAGGGUUUCUUAUUAGAUAGAAUGUAAGAACCAACAGAGGAAAACUUAAGAAGAAAUAGGCUUAUUGAAGUCAAAGAAAAUGCUUCCUUAAAAGGGCCAGAAGGCACCCACUGAGCUGCUGAGUGACCCAAACUCUUAAAUGUUGGGGAUGAGGGAGGGUCUUAUGAGUUAAGGCAGGUCUCAUGCUAAUUCUCAACACAUAGCUGGGAAUUCAAAGGAGUGGUCUGACCAAAUGCGCAUCUUUCAGAAGUAGGAUGGUGACUUGGAAGGAGGUGCAUAUAUACAAUGGUAACUCUAAAGGAAAGUCCCUAAACGCUCUUCCCGAUCGAUCGUUCCGAUCCCUGCAGUACCCAGCACACUGACACAGUAGCAAGAAGCCCUGCAGUGUGGAGCCACAUCAGGACAUGGCCAUCAGUCCACAUGUUUAACCCACUGUCCCUGUCCUUUUUAACUUUCCACAUCAGAAACAUUGGGGAUGUUGAGGGAAAACUGAUAGUUAUGCUGGGCUGGAGUGCUGGGGUCUGUAGUGUCUGCUGCUUGGGAGGAGGCAGCUAUUCCUGAGAUGCUAUUGUUCCUGUGCAUUACAGUGUCAGCAACUGUGAAGCCGGAGAAUACACACAUUAACACAAAUGAAACCACAGUUGGGAAGGGAAUAAAGGAUUAUAUUUUAUAUGAAAUAAAAUGUACUUUUUUCCUUAAAAUAUAUCAACA